AUUGAACGCUGGCGGCAGGCCUAACACAUGCAAGUCGAGCGGAUGAAGGGAGCUUGCUCCUGGAUUCAGCGGCGGACGAGUGAGUAAUGCCUAGGAAUCUGCCUGGUAGUGGGGGAUAACGUCCGGAAACGGGCGCUAAUACCGCAUACGUCCUGAGGGAGAAAGUGGGGGAUCUUCGGACCUCACGCUAUCAGAUGAGCCUAGGUCGGAUUAGCUAGUCGGUGGGGUAAAGGCCUACCAAGGCGACGAUCCGUAACUGGUCUGAGAGGAUGAUCAGUCACACUGGAACUGAGACACGGUCCAGACUCCUACGGGAGGCAGCAGUGGGGAAUAUUGGACAAUGGGCGAAAGCCUGAUCCAGCCAUGCCGCGUGUGUGAAGAAGGUCUUCGGAUUGUAAAGCACUUUAAGUUGGGAGGAAGGGCAGUAAGUUAAUACCUUGCUGUUUUGACGUUACCAACAGAAUAAGCACCGGCUAACUUCGUG
rnacentral:rRNA from 1 species